rnacentral:rRNA from 1 species
CCGGUACAGUGGCGCACGGGUGAGUAACACGUAGAUGACCUUCCCUGGAGUGGUGGAUAACCUGCCGAAAGGCGGGCUAAUACAGCAUAUGACCACGCGGUUCUGACCGCGCGGUGAAAGCGGGCCUCUGUACACAAGCUCGCGCUCUGGGAUGGGUCUGCGUCCCAUCAGCUCGUUGGUGAGGUAACGGCUCACCAAGGCUACGACGGGUAGCUGGUCUGAGAGGAUGACCAGCCACACUGGAACUGAGACACGGUCCAGACUCCUACGGGAGGCAGCAGUGGGGAAUCUUGCGCAAUGGGCGAAAGCCUGACGCAGCGACGCCGCGUGGGUGACGAAGGCCUUCGGGUUGUGAAGCCCUGUGGGGAGGAACGAACCGUGGGCGGGUAAACACCCCGCUCACCUGACGGUACCUCUUUAGCAAGCAUCGGCUAACUCUGUGCCAGCAGCCGCGGUAAGACAGAGGAUGCGAACGUUGCUCGGAAUUACUGGGCGUAAAGCGCGCGUAGGUGGUCCCGUAAGUCGUGUGUGAAAUCCCUCUGCUCAACGGAGGACGUGCACGGGAUACUGCGGGACUGGAGUACAGAAGAGGACAGCGGAAUUCCCGGUGUAGAGGUGAAAUUCGUAGAUAUCGGGAGGAACACCAGUGGCGAAGGCGGCUGUCUGGGCUGAUACUGACACUGAGGCGCGAAAGCGUGGGAAGCAAACAGGAUUAGAUACCCUGGUAGUCCACGCCGUAAACGAUGACGACUGGGUGUUGCCGGGUAUUGACCCCCGCGGUGCCGAAGCCAACGCGUUAAGUCGUCCGCCUGGGAAGUACGGCCGCAAGGCUAAAACUCAAAGGAAUUGACGGGGGCCCGCACAAGCGGUGG